AACGAACGCUGGCGGCAUGCCUAACACAUGCAAGUCGAACGGGAUCCUAGCUUGCUAGGUGAGAGUGGCGGACGGGUGAGUAACACGUGGGAAUCUGCCUUUUGGUUCGGGAUAACCGCGGGAAACUGCGGCUAAUACCGAAUGCCCUCGAGAGAGGAAAGAUUUAUCGCCAGAAGAGGAGCCCGCGUCCGAUUAGGUAGUUGGUGGGGUAAAGGCCUACCAAGCCGACGAUCGGUAGCUGGUCUGAGAGGAUGAUCAGCCACACUGGGACUGAGAUACGGCCCAGACUCCUACGGGAGGCAGCAGUGGGAAUAUUGGACAAUGGGGGCAACCCUGAUCCAGCAAUGCCGCGUGAGUGAUGAAGGCCUUAGGGUUGUAAAG
rnacentral:rRNA from 1 species